CGUCUGCGCAUCAGCGGCGUCACAGACGCGUGGGGCUCGCGGGGAGCCGGGCUGGGGCCGUCCGUGUCCCGCGGGGCUCUGGGCGGCCGCUCGACCGAGGACCCACGACUCCGCCCCGACCCCGCCGUGUUCGCGAGACCCGGAGACCCCUUCGCGCCUUCCAGGACCGCCCCUUUCGCGACGCUGCGUGCUGUGCUUGGUCCUGGCGGCCAAGAGCGGCGGUGGCAAGGGGACCGCCCUGGCCCGAGACGCGGCCUGGCCUCGCAGCGUCGCUUGGGCACAGCCUCUCUAGGCCCCUUCGUCCUCGGUCGCGGAGGGACGCCAUUAAACGGCCACGCCGGGCUCAACUGGGACGCGGCCCACGGCGCCCAACCAGGGCCUGGGGGAGGGAAGCCGGGGCGACUCCUGGGUCCUUCCAGGACCCUUGCGCAGGCCUCAUUCUCUCCCCGGAGGUCCCCUUCCCGCUGCCCUGAGGCCACUCUCCUGCCAGCAGCUGCUGGGCCGGCUCUCGGGAGAAUGCCUUGGCGUCAAGCUUAUCAGGCUGCAGGGCGGGACGCGAGUGCUGAGGGCAGCCAGACUCCCGCUCUUAGGUGCACUUGAGGAGCCUGAGAAGGCAGUGGCUCUGCGGGAGAGGGAGACACAGGAGCAGGGCUGGUCCGCCGAGAUUCCGGAGAGACGGUUGUGGGCCGAUUCUGUGGCGAGAUUUACAAGUGGGAGGUUGGGUGACGAUUGCUCCUGGGCCAGAAAAUCUAAGCCAGUCUCAGCAAGACCUACAAGGCCAGGGCCAGUGCUCCUCAGAGGAUAUUCAUGCUCCAGGAAAGCCAAGGAUGGGCCUCCGUCAUGCUGAGAUGCCGCAGCAGGGACACCUGUGUCCCACGUGGAGCUCGGCUUCUAGCUGCAGUCAGUGCAGAAGCUGGCAGGAGGGGUUUAUUUCUGUCCUCGGAAGCUUUUGGGCUGCACGUGGGAAGAGGGACCACCACAAGGAGGCCACAGCAGGGCUCACCCCACACCGCUGC
rnacentral:lncRNA from 1 species